rnacentral:tmRNA from 1 species
GGGCCUGUAUUGGUUUUGACAGCAUAGGUUAUGGUAAGUAUAAGCAUGCAGUGCGUUGGAUAAUUAGCACUUUAAUCUGAAUAUUCAAACUAUAAAUGGCAAUACACAGUAUGCCAUGGCUGCUUAAUCAGCGAUUAACCAGUCAUUCGGGCCGCCGAACAGGUUAGCUUGUUUCCAAGUUCCGCCGCCGACUCAAAACAAAACAAGAUGCUGUUGUUAUAGGCUGUGCUAACAACUUAAGAAUAUUCAGCUAAGCUUUUAAUCGGUUUGUUCAUUUCCUGUUUAAUGCCUACAAAUAAUAAUGAAAUAAGCAUGUAGAAAAUUUAUGAUAACAAUGUUUGGACAGCGGUUCGAGUCCGCUCAGGUCCACUA